GAUAAGAUUGUCUGAUAGUGGAAAACGAAGAAUCAAGAGAGGUGCGGGAAUGUCCUGGCGGGUCAAGUUCGUAACUCCGCGGGUGGUUUCCACGAAAGUGGAGACGCAUUCAGCUCCUACAGGGGAAGACGUUGAUCGGGCGCCACGUGUGUCUCCGAUCGAUAGUCACCCUGAGGCAACUGUGAGAAGACCUUGCAUGGGGGUAGGCCACCCCCACAGUCUUGAAAGCCUCUCUGAUAGGGGGAUGUGCCAUCCUCCUGGUGUGCUGAGCCGCGGGCAAUUUAUACUGUCCAGAUCCAGGGCAGUGCCCGCGGCUCGCAAACCGAAUUCCACACGUUCUUUAAUAGAAUAGGGGCGAUCCGAUACAAAGGAUCGUCUCCACUAUCGGACAAUUUUAUCCCCUCAGAGACUAUACGCCGCACGUCCUGUAAUCAGGAUGAUGAUAUAGUCCGAACUGCAUGGCGACAUGCAGAAUGCAAUAGAAAUAAUUGCAUCUCGUAUUCUUCCGCGUAAGUCUGCGUCAAGUCGGCGUAGUUCCGCGGUUGUUACGAAGUAACAACAUUGUAGAUACCCCAGUAGUCCACGCCCUAAACGAUGUUCUCUCGCUUUUUGGAGUAUCGACCCUCUAAGAGGCUUAGCUAACGCGAUAAGAGAACCGCCUGGGAAGUACGGCCGCAAGGCUAAAACUCAAAGGAAUAGACGGGGACUUGCACAAGCAGUGGAUUAUGUGGUUUAAUUCGAUGGUAAACGAAGAACCUCACCAGGGUUUGAAACUCACGGGAAGACCAGUAGAAACAUUGGUCGUCUCACAAGGACUCGUGGGCAGGUGAUGCAUGGCCGUCGUCAGUUCGUGGUUUGAGCUGUUCCCUUAAGUGGGGUAACGAACGCAACCCUCGUCGUCUGUUAUAAGUGUCAGGCGAGACUGCCCAGCCCAGUGCGCACAAGCGCAGUUGGUAGUGAGUAGUAAGUAGUGGGUAGUGAAUACAAAAAAUUCCCUACAACCUACCACCUACAACCUACAAACUGUGUUCUUGCGAACACCGGGCUGGGAGGAAGGGGAGGAUGACGCCAGGUCAGCAUGUCCCUCUGAUACCCUGGGCUACACACAUAAUACAAUCGCCAUUACAACGGGUCGCGACGAGGAAACUCUGAGCUAAUCCUAAUAAAGAUGGCGCCAGAUCGGAUUGAGGUCUGCAACUCGACCUCAUGAAGCCGGAAUUGCUAGUAAUCGCAGGUCAGCUAUACUGCGGUGAAUACGUUCUCAAGUCUUGUACUCACCGCCCGUCACGUCAAGGGAGCCGGGAGUACCCGAAACCCCCGCUUUGCGGGGUUUAAGGUAAAUUCGGUAACAGGGACGAAGUCGUAACAAGGCACGGGUAGCGGAAGCUGCUCGUG
rnacentral:rRNA from 1 species